rnacentral:rRNA from 1 species
AGUCGACGUGCGCCCUUGCGCACGUGGCGUACGGCUCAGUAACGCGUGGCUAACCUGCCCUCGUGACGGGGAUAACCUCGGGAAACUGAGGAUAAUCCCCGAUAGGCGAGCGGCUUUGGAAGAACCGCUCACCGAAAGGGACGGAGGGAAUGGCCUUCGUCCGCGCGAGGAUGGGGCUGCGUCCCAUCUGGCAGUUGGUGGGGUAAUGGCCCACCAAACCUAUAACGGGUACGGGCCGUGAGAGCGGGAGCCCGGAGAUGGGCACUGAGACAAGGGCCCAGGCUCUACGGAGCGCACCAAGCGCGAAACCUUCGCAAUGCGGGAAACCGUGACGGGGCCAUCCCGAGUGCAGGCUGCUGAGGCCUGCUUUUGCCCAGUGUAAGAAGCUGGGCGAAUAAGUGGGGGGCAAGACUGGUGUCAGCCGCCGCGGUAAUACCAGCUCCACGAGUGGUCAGGACGGUUAUUGGGCCUAAAGCGUCCGUAGCCGGCCCGGUAAGUUUAUGGUGAAAUCCCGNCAUCUCAAGUGUCGGANCGCUGUUAAAUACUGCCCGGGCUAGGA